UUUUAAGAAAGAUUAAAGCCAUUUACACUUCUAAACACUUUAGAAUGUUAUUUAGUAAAAGAAUAAGUUGUCAGGUAAAGGGACAUAAUUCAAGGUCUGACCCUAUACAGCAAAUGGUAAAGGUUUUGUAACAAGGUGAGCCUCCAUAUUGUGGAGAUGAAUAAUACUUUUGGGACCUCUUUUGAUUUAAAUCACGUAGGAGAACAUUUUGAUGGAGCUGAUGGCAUAAUCUUCUAGUUUUAGGUGUUUAUAGUCUACCUUGUUGAAAACACUGAUACUUUUACUCUGCUUCUCUUUUAAUUUCAGGUCCCACCCAAGGUCGCCAUCAUGUUUGUUGCUCUGCAGUACAAUGUCACCUAUACCAUUGAUGACAACACUGAGCAAUUUGAUUUUUAUGACUAUGGUCCCAAAGACAUUGCCACAAUCGGCUUCUACAUGCUUGUAGCUAUUAAAGUGCAUGCUGUAAUCCAGGAGUGCAUAUUAGAUAAAAUUAAUAGGCAUCUGCAGCUGUCAGAACGGGAGAAGAGCAAAUUCAAUGAAUCAGGACAGCUUGCAUUGUUCUACUUGUUUUCAUUUAUAUGGGGAGCAAGUAUUUUGAAUGCAGAAGAAUUCUCAAUGAACCUAACCUCGUUCUGGAAAGAUUAUCCCUUUUCUCGUAUGCUUUUUCAGGAAAAAUUCUUCUAUGUUUGCCAGAUAGCCUAUUGGAUUCAUGCACUGCCGGAGCUAUACUUCCAAAAGGUCCAAAAGGAAGAUAUUCCAAGGCAGCUAUGUUAUAUUUGCCUUUACAUUACUCAUAUCUCUGGUGCCUAUAUAUUAAAUUUGCAGCAUUUGGGGCUAAUUCUGGUGGUACCUCACUAUUUGGUGGAAUUCAUUUUUCAUGCCUUGCGUCUCUUCUACUUCCCUGAUGAAAACAUGCAAAAAGGAUUUAUCAUUUGGGCUUUACUUUUCAUAAUGGUGCGUCUUUUGACCCUAACUUUAUCUGUCCUCACGUUUGGAUUUGGUCUGGCAAGAGCAGAGAAUCCAGGUUUUUCCAUAGCAGAUGGAAACUUCAAUACCCUCCCUGUGAGGAUUGGCUGCCUGGGUGCUGUUUGUCUAACACAGGCCUGGAUGAUGCGGAAAUUUGUACAUUUUCAGCUGAAGAAAUGGAGAGAGCGUGUUAAGGACCAGAUUCCAGAGAAAAAAACAACUAACCCAAAGAAGAAACGAACAAAAAAGGAACCAGGUAAAGCUAACUUUGCCAAUGGAGCAGCAAAACCAGAAGAUGGAGCAUCACCAAGAACAAGAAAAUCAAAACCAGUAUGAGGAUAUAAGCUAGUAUCAGAAAACAACGUUUGAUGGAAGACUGUUGACUUAAAAAAUUGACACCGCAGAGCUGUGUCUUGUUAUUUUAAUGGACACUAUCAGGUUAUAUUUUUUAAAUAUGUUUGUUGAUAACUCUACAUUUAUGACAAGAUCAUCUCUGAGGUACUUUGGUAGGCAUCUCCAAGAUUCACAACAGCUGAAUCGGCAUGAACUUCUGGUUCAGUAAUCAGAAGUUAUUACAUUUCUGUAAUAUUUGCAUUACAGACACUGCAGAAGGCUGUGUAAAUCUAAGUUUAUUUUAUUAAGUCUAUUUGUUUGUUUUUAGAAAAUGAGAAUUCUGUACCAAAAAGGUCUUACCGUGCCUGUCUGUCUCCCCUUCUCUUCCCUCCCCAAGAAUUUUUUCUUUCUUCAUCUUAUGUGGAAUAACAGUUAUAUCUGAAGUAGCCUGGUAAAAAAAGGAAACAUUUUCUAUACUUGAUUUCUCUUUAAAAAUUGCAGGUUUAGAAAGAGGACAAAUUCUGACAGGACAACACUAAUCUUUCAGUAUGAAGAACAAUUAAAUGGGCUGAAGAAAUGGGAGGCUUCUCCUGCACUAAUUGUUCAAAUGGCAAUUGCUCUUUGAAUAUUCAGGAGACAAAUAAGUUAAGAGAGAUGUCCUUGUGAGUGAGAACACUUCCUGUAGUAGAAUAGAUGGUGGAAAAUGGUGACUGUCUGGGUUACUGUCACGAUAAAAAUGAAUGACAGCAUCUGAAAGGUGAGCUGUGGGUUACGUUUCCAUACAUCUGGGUUUCCGCUGGCUUUUUUUUGACUGAGAAAAUGUUGGAAUCAGAUUGGAUUUAAUUGGUAUGUCUCACAAAUUCAGCUUACGGUCAAGAAUGUCUCUUGUGUACAUCUUUGGCCAAAUUUUUAAUACAUGUGGCCUUCUAAAGUCUGCUUUAAAAGGCAUAUGCACCAGCAGGUGGAGCAAAUAGACACAACCAUUAAAUGCUACAGUUCUACAGCUACAUUUACUAUUAUUUGUGGGUUAAUUUUGUCAAGCAUCACAUAUCAAUGAAAAGUCAAAGCUCUUUAUGUAAUGAAGAAUAUAGUGAUUAAAUCAGAAAUAAUUUUGAAGUUAUCUAUUUAUAAUUGCUAGAACAGGAACUAAAUGUUAAAAAGGGGUGAA